rnacentral:rRNA from 1 species
UACGUAGGGUGCAAGCGUUGUCCGGAUUUCUUGGGCGUAAAGAGCUCGUAGGUGGCACGGUAAGUCGGAAGUUAAACCGCUGGGCUUAACCCAGCGUUGCUUUCGAUACUGCCGAGCUCGAGUAUGGCAGGGGAGAACGGAAUUCCACGUGUAGCGGUGAAAUGCGCAGAUAUGUGGAGGAACACCAAUGGCGAAGGCAGUUCUCUGGGCCAUUACUGACACUGAGGAGCGAAAGCGUGGGGAGCGAACAGG